UGUAAUACCUCCCACUUUGUUCUUUCUCAAGAUUUCUUUGGUUAUUUGAGAUCUUUUGUGGUUCCACAUAAAUUUUAUAAUUAGUUGCUCUAAUUCUGAAAAGAAUGUCAUGGGUAUUUUAAUAGUGAUUACAUUGAAUCUGUAUAUUUCUUUGGGUAGUAAGAUUAUUUUAACAAUAUUAAUUCUUCCAAUCCAUGCUGCAGGUUUUCAUGGACUACACGUCAUCAUUGGCUCUACUCUCCUUGUUGUAUGUUUUCAACAUCAACUAAAAUUCCACUUCACAAGCAAGGCAAAGCCACAACAGCACUAAGAUGAAGUCUUCUUCACUGGUCUCUCUCAUUCACUCAAACCAGAGUUUAUCAGCUUCUCUCCUGAGUAAAGGAAGAUGGAUUUGGAAUAAAUAGGAAUUCACAUGGAAGGAGUUCCACAUGGAAGGUCCAUUCUGGAGUGUGAUAAGAAGUGCAUCUUUUCAGCAUUUCUCAAGUGGUACCCCAGCAUUUGCCUUGACAUUCAAUCAAUCUCAUCAUCCAAAACAAGAG